rnacentral:rRNA from 1 species
CCUACGGGUGGCUGCAGUGGGGAAUAUUGCACAAUGGGCGAAAGCCUGAUGCAGCGACGCCGCGUGAGCGAUGAAGGCCUUCGGGUCGUAAAGCUCUGUCCUAAGGGAAGAAAAUUGACGGUACCUUAGGAGGAAGCCCCGGCUAACUACGUGCCAGCAGCCGCGGUAAUACGUAGGGGGCGAGCGUUAUCCGGAAUUACUGGGCGUAAAGGGUGCGUAGGCGGCUUUAUAAGUCAGGUGUGAAAGGCUUCGGCUCAACCGAAGUGAGCACUUGAAACUGUAGGGCUUGAGUGCAGGAGCGGAGGGAGGAAUGUCUAGUGUAGGGGAGAAAUGAGUAGAUAUUGGGAGGGGCACCAGUGGCGAAGGCGGAUCUCGGGAAUGUAACUGACGCUGAGGCCAGACAGCAUAUAGGGCAAACAGGAUUAGAUACCCGUGUAGUC